rnacentral:misc_RNA from 1 species
GUGAAUCAUCGAAUCUUUGAACGCACCUUGCGCCUCUUGGUACUCUGAGAGGCAUGCCUGUUUGAGUGUCUUGUGAAAUCAAUCCCCAUGGGUUUCAUUACCUCGUGGUGGAGUUGGACUUGGGUGUCUGCCGUCUGGCUCGCCUCAAAGAUGUUAGUGGGAGAAGCUGCCUACGGCUCGAUGUGAUAAGUUUCAUCUGGCCUGGCUCCUUAUGUCCGCUCAUAACCCGCCCCUCGGGCAACACUUUAUGUCAGACCUCAAAUCAGGUAGGAUUACCCGCUGAACUUAAGCAUAUCAAUAAGCGGAGGA